rnacentral:tRNA from 1 species
AUUUAUAUAGUUUAAAUAAAACAUUACAUUUUCAUUGUUAAAAUAAAAUUAUAUUUUUUAUAAAUA